CAGCCCUAAACGAUGCGCGUUAGGUGUAUCGGUGACCACGAGUCACCGAGGUGCCGAAGGGAAACCGUGAAACGUGCCGCCUGGGAAGUACGGUCGCAAGGCUGAAACUUAAAGGAAUUGGCGGGGGAGCACCACAACGGGUGGAGCCUGCAGUUUAAUUGGACUCAACGCCGGGAAGCUUACCGGAUAAGACAGCGGAAUGAUUGCCGGGCUGAAGACCCUGCAUGACCAGCUGAGAGGAGGUGCAUGGCGUAGUCGUGU
rnacentral:rRNA from 1 species